UUCUGCAAUUCACAUUACUUAUCGCAUUUUGCUGCGUUCUUCAUCGAUGCCAGAACCAAGAGAUCCGUUGUUGAAAGUUUUGAUUUAUUUGUUUGUUUUACUCAGAAGUUCCACUAAAAACAGAGUUUAGGGUCCUCGGGCGGGCCGUCCCGUUUUACGGGGCGCGGGCUGAUCCGCCGAGGCAACGUAUAGGUAUGUUCACAGGGGUUUGGGAGUUGUAAACUCGGUAAUGAUCCCUUCGUAGGUGAACGUGAGGAGGGAUCAUUACCGAGUUUACAACUCCCAAACCCCUGUGAACAUACCUAUACGUUGCCUCGGCGGAUCAGCCCGCGCCCCGUAAAACGGGACGGCCCGCCCGAGGACCCUAAACUCUGUUUUUAGUGGAACUUCUGAGUAAAACAAACAAAUAAAUCAAAACUUUCAACAACGGAUCUCUUGGUUCUGGCAUCGAUGAAGAACGCAGCAAAAUGCGAUAAGUAAUGUGAAUUGCAGAAUUCAGUGAAUCAUCGAAUCUUUGAACGCACAUUGCGCCCGCCAGUAUUCUGGCGGGCAUGCCUGUUCGAGCGUCAUUUCAACCCUCAAGCUCAGCUUGGUGUUGGGACUCGCGGUAACCCGCGUUCCCCAAAUCGAUUGGCGGUCACGUCGAGCUUCCAUAGCGUAGUAAUCAUACACCUCGUUACUGGUAAUCGUCGCGGCCACGCCGUAAAA
rnacentral:rRNA from 1 species